rnacentral:rRNA from 1 species
AUUGAACGCUGGCGGCAGGCCUAACACAUGCAAGUCGAACGGCAGCGGGGGGAAGCUUGCUUCCCCGCCGGCGAGUGGCGGACGGGUGAGUAAUGCCUGGGGAGCUGCCCAAUCGAGGGGGAUACCAGUUGGAAACGACUGCUAAUACCGCAUACGCCCUGAGGGGGAAAGGUGGGGAUCUUCGGACCUAUCGCGAUUGGAUGCACCCAGGUGGGAUUAGCUAGUUGGUGAGGUAACGGCUCACCAAGGCGACGAUCUCUAGCUGGUCUGAGAGGAUGACCAGCCACACUGGAACUGAGACACGGUCCAGACUCCUACGGGAGGCAGCAGUGGGGAAUAUUGCACAAUGGGGGAAACCCUGAUGCAGCCAUGCCGCGUGUGUGAAGAAGGCCUUCGGGUUGUAAAGCACUUUCAGCGAGGAGGAAAGGGUGGCAGCUAAUACCUGUCAUCUGUGACGUUACUCGCAGAAGAAGCACCGGCUAACUCCGUGCCAGCAGCCGCAGUAAUAC